AUUGAACGCUGGCGGCAGGCCUAACACAUGCAAGUCGAGCGGAGCGGCGGACGGGCGAGUAAUGCCCAGGAAUCUGCCUGGUAGUGGGGGAUAACGUCAGGAAACGGGCGCUAAUACCGUAUAGUACUAGAUGAGCCUAGGUCGGAUUAGCUAGUUGGUGGGUUAAAGGCCUACAAAGGGGACGAUCCGUAACUGGUCUGAGAGGAUGAUCAGUCAAACGGGAACUGAGACACGGUCCAGAUUCCUACGGGAGGCAGCAGUGGGAAAUAUUGGACAAUGGGCGAAAGCCUGAUCCAGCCAUGCCGCGUGUGUGAAGAAGGUCUUCGGAUUGUAAAGCACUUUAAGUUGGGAGGCGUUACCAACAGAAUAAGCACCGGCUAACUUCGUGCCAGCAGCCGCGGUAAUAC
rnacentral:rRNA from 1 species